rnacentral:rRNA from 1 species
GACGAACUUUGGCGGCGUGCUUAACACAUGCAAGUCGAACGGAAAGGCCCUGCUUUUGUGGGGUGCUCGAGUGGCGAACGGGUGAGUAACACGUGAGUAACCUGCCCUUGACUUUGGGAUAACUUCAGGAAACUGGGGCUAAUACCGGAUAGGAGCUCCUGCUGCAUGGUGGGGGUUGGAAAGUUUCGGCGGUUGGGGAUGGACUCGCGGCUUAUCAGCUUGUUGGUGGGGUAGUGGCUUACCAAGGCUUUGACGGGUAGCCGGCCUGAGAGGGUGACCGGCCACAUUGGGACUGAGAUACGGCCCAGACUCCUACGGGAGGCAGCAGUGGGGAAUAUUGCACAAUGGGCGGAAGCCUGAUGCAGCAACGCCGCGUGCGGGAUGACGGCCUUCGGGUUGUAAACCGCUUUCGCCUGUGACGAAGCGUGAGUGACGGUAAUGGGUAAAGAAGCACCGGCUAACUACGUGCCAGCAGCCGCGGUGAUACGUAGGGUGCGAGCGUUGUCCGGAUUUAUUGGGCGUAAAGGGCUCGUAGGUGGUUGAUCGCGUCGGAAGUGUAAUCUUGGGGCUUAACCCUGAGCGUGCUUUCGAUACGGGUUGACUUGAGGAAGGUAGGGGAGAAUGGAAUUCCUGGUGGAGCGGUGGAAUGCGCAGAUAUCAGGAGGAACACCAGUGGCGAAGGCGGUUCUCUGGGCCUUUCCUGACGCUGAGGAGCGAAAGCGUGGGGAGCGAACAGGCUUAGAUACCCUGGUAGUCCACGCUGUAAACGGUGGGUACUAGGUGUGGGGUCCAUUCCACGGGUUCCGUGCCGUAGCUAACGCUUUAAGUACCCCGCCUGGGGAGUACGGCCGCAAGGCUAAAACUCAAAGGAAUUGACGGGGCCCCGCACAAGCGGCGGAGCAUGCGGAUUAAUUCGAUGCAACGCGUAGAACCUUACCUGGGUUUGACAUGGAUCGGGAGAGCUCAGAGAUGGGUGUGCCUCUUUUGGGGUCGGUUCACAGGUGGUGCAUGCCUGUCGUCAGCUCGUGUCGUGAGAUGUUGGGUUAAGUCCCGCAACGAGCGCAACCCUUGUUCACUGUUGCCAGCACGUUAUGGUGGGGACUCAGUGGAGACCGCCGGGGUCAACUCGGAGGAAGGUGGGGAUGACGUCAAGUCCUCAUGCCCCUUAUGUCCAGGGCUUCACGCAUGCUACAAUGGCUGGUACAGAGAGUGGCGAGCCUGUGAGGGUGAGCGAAUCUCGGAAAGCCGGUCUCAGUUCGGAUUGGGGUCUGCAACUCGACCUCAUGAAGUCGGAGUCGCUAGUAAUCGCAAAUCAGCAACGCUGCGGUGAAUACGUUCCCGGGGCU